GGGUCAGUAGGUUGGUCGUGCCACCGGUACGUACUGGUCUCACUGAUUCCUCCUUCCUGAAGAACCGUAAUGCCAUUAAUUUGGUGUUGCGGGGAAACAGGACUGUUACAUUGAAAAAAUUAGAGUGUUUAAAGCAAGCUAACGCUUGAAUACAUUAGCAUGGAAUAAUGAAAUAGGGCGAUCGAUCCUAUUUUGUUGGUUUCUAGGAUUGACGUA
rnacentral:rRNA from 1 species